rnacentral:lncRNA from 1 species
UACAGUUGAUGAACUCCCUCUUUCGAGCACCGAUGUCUUUUUAUGACUCUACACCAUUGGGAAGGAUACUAAGUAGGGUAAGCUUGUGAAACAAUCAUUUCCCCUGCUAUGAAAUGCAAUAGAAAAAACAAUAAUUAGAUUUUAACCACUUUUUCUUUGUUUAGGUUUCAUCUGAUCUGAGCAUUAUGGAUCUUGACAUGCCAUUUAGCCUCCUUUUUUCGGUCGGAGCCACUAUAAACUUUUAUUCCGUUCUUAUAGUUUUAGCAGUUGUCACUUGGCAAGUAUUAAUUGUGGUUAUACCAAUAGUAUACAUUACGAUUCGUCUACAGGUAACGAACAUGUUCUUCUUUGACUUAUCUAAACUAUCUCUAAAGCAAAUGAUGUAAAAUAUUUUGUGUGGUUUAAGCAGAGUUACUACUUAGUCUCAGCCAAAGAAAUGAUGAGGAUGUGUAGCACAACAAAAUCCUAUUUAGCUAAUCAUGUAGCUGAAACUGUUGCCGGAGCUGUGACAAUAAGGGCUUUUGAGGAGGAAGAUCGUUUUUCUAAGAAGAAUCUUGAUCUAAUCGAUAUUAAUGCUAGUACAUUUUUUCAUUGUUUUGCCUCAAAUGAAUGGUUGAUCCAACGAUUAGAAACAAUGAGUGCGCUUGUUCUUUCUUCUGCAGCACUUUGCAUGGUUAUACUUCCACCAGGGACUUUCACCUCUGGUGAGAAUUCGAUUAUUUAAAUCACUUUCUUUAUCUUCAAACAAUAAGAUCAAUCUCCCUUAGCAAAUUACUAAAUUUCAAUAUCUUUCAUUUCAGGAUUUAUCGGUCUGGCUCUGUCAUAUGGCCUUACACUAAAUGCUUCCUUAGUAUUUUCCAUUAGAAUCCAAUGCAAUCUCGCAGAUCAAAUAAUAUCGGUAGAGAGGCUAAAUCAAUAUAUGCAUAUACAAAGUGAGGCCGAAGAAAUAAUAGAAGACAACCGUCCUCCUUUGAAUUGGCCAAUUGCAGGCAAAGUAGAAAUAAAUGACUUGAAGGUAAUUUUUACUUAUUUUAAAAUGUGAAUCAUAAUGUUAAGGUAAAAUGGGAGAUGAAGUAUAGUACUAGUAGGUAACUUUUUUAUUUAUACAAUCUUAGAUACGAUAUAGACCAGGUGGACCACUUGUACUUCAUGGGAUCACAUGCACGUUUGAAGCAGGUCACAAGAUUGGUAUUGUCGGUAGAACAGGCAGCGGGAAGUCCACUCUUAUUGGUACUUUAUUUCGCCUCGUGGAACCAGAAGGAGGAAAAGUUGUAGUUGACGGCAUAGACAUCUCGUCUAUUGGCCUUCAUGAUUUGAGGUCACGUUUUGGGAUUAUACCUCAAGAUCCUACUCUUUUUAAUGGGACAGUAAGAUUUAAUUUGGACCCUUUAUCCCAACACACUGAUCAAGAGAUAUGGGAGGUAAAAUAUUUAACAUUCUUAUUUUUGUUUAAUGCAUAGAAAAUGUAAACUAAUUAUUGGUAAAUAUGAAGGUUCUUGGGAAGUGUCAACUAAGAGAAGUUGUCCAAAAGAAAGAAGAGGGCUUAAACUCCUCGGGUACACUUUUAAAUUUGAUUGUUAAUUUGUUAUAGCUAUACGUUAGUAAUGACUCGUGAAAACUUGUUGUGCAGUUGUUGAAGAUGGAUCAAACUGGAGUAUGGGACAAAGACAGCUAUUUUGUUUAGGGCGUGCUCUUUUAAGGAGAAGUAGGAUACUGGUACUGGAUGAAGCAACUGCAUCGAUUGAUAAUUCAACUGAUACGAUUCUACAGAAAACCAUUAGAACGGAAUUUGCAGAUUGUACAGUGAUCACAGUAGCACACAGAAUACCAACCGUGAUGGAUUGCACUAUGGUUCUUUCAAUCAGUGAUGGUAAGUUUUUUCUCUUCGGUUUUUUUUUCUCUCUAUCUCAUUUUACACAUUUUUCAGACUAAUACAUGACUCUGUAAUCCAUAGACAUUUUUUUAUGUUGAUGAUAAAUAUUCUUAGAGACACACACGAAUUAUGGGGUGAUAAAUAAUGAGGUAGUUGGUUUAACAUGUUGAAAAAGCAUAUAGCACAUAAAUCAUAACAUGUAAAAUCUAGGGUACUUGACUUUCACACACUUGAAAUCAUGAAAAAAGAAAAGGUUAAGGAUAUGCUAUCACUUACUUGAUUUCUUGGAAGAAUGAAAAGCCAAUUUGACUGUAUUUCCAGGAAAGUUGGUGGAGUAUGACGAGCCAAUGAGCUUGAUGAUGAGAGAAGAAUCGUUGUUCAGAAAGCUUGUUAAGGAAUAUUGGUCUCAUUUUCAGUCUGCGGAAUAGCAUUGAUGUUAACAAUGAUUCUGUUGAGCAUAAUGAAGAAGAAAAAAGUGAUUAAAUGUACCAUCUCUAGAAUGAUACAUGAGCUUUAUUGAAAGAUUCUUGUGUAUUUUGCAAAGCCAAACAAAACUGUUGUUUGGUAAUACAAGAGCUUAAUUUUAUCUUUCGUUAUAAAAUUAGCUUAUGCAAGCUUAUUCAUAAGUGCUUAUUUUGAUAACUACUUGUGCUAUAAGCGGAUACAGACCCUAAAUCUUCAAGAAUACAAUGCUUCCAAUUCUCCCACAUCUAAAAAUUGUAUCGAAUUAUAACAAACCAACUGGAAUUUCACAAAUCAAAAUGAGUAUAUUGCAACACAGAUUCAUAGCAAAGUAUGAAAUUGAAAAUAUUCAUAAAAUUGAUAGUGUGCAAGACAGUAACACCAUAGAAAAUUUUAGAGAUCUUGGCAGGACUGUUGACUGAACAGAAAUGCUGAAUGAAUCAACAGGAGGAGCUGCUUUGACGGUGGACGGAGGUGCUGCGAUUACCGGUAGACGACGCCGUAGCCAGAAUCGGUUCAUCCUAAAAUCAAACGAAAAUUUCAAAAAGAAAAAAUAUGAUAAAAAAAAUAGAGUAAAAUAAAAUGAUUUAGCAAUUUAGUAAACGAAAAAGUAUAAAUGUAAAAAUAUUAUAUUCCUUUUUUUAAUUUCAUGUCACUAUGGUCUUUUUU